GGAGGACUCUCCACGACCCUAGCUUCUCCCGUCCAGCCCCCGCCCCGGAACCGGCGGUUGACCGGCGGCCGCCCAGUACUGGAACUGUGAGGGCACAGUGGAACCGCAGGCAUGAGUUCCACCCGCGGCUCCGCGUCCCGGCCCGGCCUUUCUGACAAGAGCUAGACUUUGGGAUCCUUGAGAAUACUCAGCUAUGCACAUUUGAAUAUCCUCUCACCAUAUUCAACAUGAGAUAACAUUCUUAAUGAUUAUCCUCAGCAGGACAGUUAAAGUGGCACUGGGAUGUGGUGCGUGGGUUCCGGUAUGUGGAGGCCUGCUGUGGUCGUGGGUGACUGCUGGUAGUCUCAGGAGGAGCGCUGGAGGGUGGAGUCCCACAGAUGCUGCCAUUCUGCAAAGAGAGUCUUUUGAUCAAGUGACCAACAGAAUUGAUACCACAAAAAUCACAAACAUAAAGAUCAAAUACAGAUUUUCACAUCAGAACCAUCAGCGAUCUCAAAAGUUUCAGUUCCUUGGAGAUCGAAUUGCAAAAGGUUCCCAACUAUGGACUAUCACCCUACCAAGAAUUUCCAGCAUUGAAGGACCUGUGAAGAAGGCAAGGGAAGAAAUAGGUGACUGCUGUUGCAGAGUUUGCCAUUGAUCCAGAGGUUUGCCAGUGGACCUCAUGUUCCUGCAGGCAGUCUGGGCUCGAACCAGGGUGUGACCACACAGAAGAUGAGGAAGGGCAGCUCUGCCUCUUCCCUGUUGCUCACUUCUGGUCAGCACACCCACAUUCAGCUCAUCAAAGUUUAGGAGCUGUGGUUUUGUGUUCACAGUCAUCAGAAAAAGCAUGACAUGAAUUACAACACACAACUUUUCAGAUCUGAGAAUGUUUGACAUGCCAGGUAUCAUGAGGAAACAGACUUGUGUUCAGAAGUAGCCAAGAAAUGAAAAAGGAAAGUACUUUUGCAGAAGGGUGUGCUACCAAAUCAGGUCUACAGAGCAGUCACACCUGUGUGGGCAGUCCACAUUCGUUUAUCCCUAAUGCACCUCUGACCCUUGACCUGAUGAAACAAACUUAUGGGUACGAUUUAUGCAUUUGGGUAUAAUUGAGGAAUAAU